rnacentral:lncRNA from 1 species
UAUACUAGGCAAUACCUAGUGCAAGUUUAGAAAAUAUAUACAACAGUUAAAACAUUAUAUUGUGUGACUGGAAAAUCUGGUGGCAUGCCAAAGUCAUUUUGGCUCCAAAGUUUGCCUCCAUUGAUUUGGUGUGCUAUGCCAAAAUAGUUUUGGCUCCAAAGUUUCCCUCCGAGUAUAUAUUCUGUUGUGUGAAAAAGUUGACAAAUUUAAUAACGUACCCACCAACCCUAAACGCUGUCUCACACUCUCACUCUCUCGCAUUCAUAUCGCUGUCUCUUUCUCUCUCUCACAUUCAUUCACCCAAAACCCACCAAACAGAUCAACUCUCACUCUCAAACAGAUUGAGACUCUCGCCCUCUCACUCUCAACGGUAAGCCCUCUCUCUCUCAAUGUUGUCUCAACUCUCACUCUCUCGCCCUCUCUCUCAACGUAGAGUUAGAUUUUGGAGAGGAUCAGGAACCCCCAGAUGAGUGCAACGAGUUUCAACGGUUGGUUGAGGAGGCAAACAGACCGUUGUAUGCCGGUUGUAAGUCGCACACCAAGUUCAAUGCACUUCUACGAUCUUUUGUAUGCUUUUCUCUUUUUUAGGAGUUUAAGUGGGCUUCUUUCGCCAUUGCCAAUUGGUGAAGGUGAAAAUUGCAUUCCAAUUGUUCGACGAAAUGCCUCUGAGGAACUGAAAUUUUCACUUAUAGCUGCAUUUCUUGAGGUGUGGUUUCUGGGUUUAAUUUGUUCACCUAGGUUCGGAGUCAUAGAGCUUCCAAGCACUGGAAAGUCUUGCUCUAAUGGCACUGAAUAUGGCAUCUCUAUUUUUCUUGCAUCCUUGUAUUUGGGUUAGUAUUUGUGUAAAAUUUUAGUGCAUGUUGAUAUGUUCUUUGUACAAUUGUUGCAUUCCUGUCUGGAUUGGGUAGCCAAUUUUAUGUCUAGUGCCUUUUUAGAGUACAAGCACAACAAAAAAUAAAUGUAGUUGUUUAGAGGGAGCUGUAUCCAUGUAUAUUGUUUAUGCUUCUCCUUGUUUCACCUUCUUGUUUGUAUUGGAUCUAAUUGUUACAACUUUGCGAUACAACUUAACCAUAGUUCUCCUCGAAAACCUCCUGAGUUGCCUGUUGAAUAUGUACAGGAACUUCCGCCAGCAGCUGUGAGGGAGUACGGACAUCAAAUGGCAGACCAUAUAUUUCUUAAGGUUCCAAAUUGUGGAGAACAUUGGAAAAUAGAAUUGAGAACAUCACCUCGUGGUGACCGGAUGUGGUUAGAGAAGGGAUGGGAAGAGUUUGCCAGCUUUUACUUACUGGACCAACGCGACAUGGCAAUUGUCACAUCUUGGUUCUUAAGUCAAUUUGCGGUUAUUUACUUUGGGUUACUUUGACCUUCUACUGUUUUAAGUAACCGUUUACUAUUUAAGACUCUAAAAGUUGACUUUUUCUUCCGUUUGGAAUUUGGGAAAACUUUCUUCAUGAAAGUUGUAGAGGACGUUAAUACGAGUUCGUAGACAUGCUAAACGUUAAAAUCGGAGUUAGCAUGAAAAAGUUAUUAGAUAAAAAGAGUAGACUUUGUUUGGUAAAGAGGGUGAAUUGUUUUAGUAGGUAUUAUUUUGGGGUGUUUUAUUGUUGGAGUGGGAUUUUAAGUGGUGGACCAGGUCAAAAGGCCCAACUCAUUCUCUCUCUCUCUCNNNNNNNNNNNNNNNNNNNNUCUACUCUACUCUCUCUCUCUCUCUCUCUCUCUCUCUCUCUCUCUCUCUCUCUCUCUCUCUCUCCCGAGCCUACCCCGACCCGCUGGAGACUUCAGCUCUGCCCGCCGCCGUCCGGCCACCAGCGACUGCCGGACCACCCCAGCUCGGACCCUCGCUGCCCCUUCUCUCUUUCUGGGCCGGUGACCGCACGCGGGACGCCACUGAUUGAGAGAAAUCCCGCCGAGAACACCGACUGCCAACUCACCGAAAAUCCCACCUCCGGCCACCAAAGUUCGUGAUUCUUGGCUCAUCUGGUAGCUCUCAUCAAGGUGAGUAAUCCCUCAAAAGGAAUUGGUCCAAUUCGAUCUUGUUAAUGAGAAAUGUUUAAUUGAAGUUCUAGGGAUUUAUGAAUGUUUUGGUUCGAUUACCCUAGUUAGCCUUAGAAUUGGACUAAGUGCUAGUUAUGAAAAUUGUUGUGCUUGAUGAGAGGAUUAUUCUGUUAAAAUUUGGGAGGCAUUGGAUACCGCUGGAGUUCGGCUGCCAGCCGCCGCUGCCGGUGGUGCAGGCGGCGGCGCUGCCUCUUAGGGGUAGUUUUUCAUGUUUUUGAGUUUAUUUUUAUGAGAGGAGUUUAAUGAAGUAAAGUUUGGAAUUUUGGAAGAGUUUUGAUAAGAUUUGAGAUUUUUCAAAGAUUAAAGAUUUUGCCGGUUGUUAGAAUGAAAAAUCCGGCCGUUGAAUUUCCUUGGUAUUUAGCCUGGAAUGUUAGAAUUGAUGAUUAAAGGUAUGGUGGAGUUUGAUGUGAAUCCGGUGAGUUUAACCCUAAUAAGAGUAGUGGGUUAAACGGAAGAGAGUUACAUGUUUUUAUUCACGUAUUUAUUUUCCGGAAUUGAAGUUUGGUCCUAAACAUGGUUGUUGUGCCAGGAUUCGAGGAGACCUCACUUGAGUGGCGAUUCAGAUUUCGUCAAGCUUAGGCCUAAAUCUGUGAGUGGACAUUUUGGUUUUU